AACGAACGCUGGCGGCAUGCCUAACACAUGCAAGUCGAACGAGACCUUCGGGUCUAGUGGCGAACGGGUGCGUAACGCGUGGGAACCUGCCCUUAGGUUCGGAAUAACUCCCCGAAAGGGGUGCUAAUACCGGAUAAUGUCUUCGGACCAAAGAUUUAUCGCCUUUGGAUGGGCCCGCGUUGGAUUAGCUAGUUGGUAGGGUAAAAGCCUACCAAGGCGACGAUCCAUAGCUGGUCUGAGAGGAGGAUCAGCCACACUGGGACUGAGACACGGCCCAGACUCCUACGGGAGGAAGCAGUGGGGAAUAUUGGACAAUGGGCGAAAGCCUGAUCCAGCAAUGCCGCGUGAGUGAUGAAGGCCUUAGGGUUGUAAAGCUCUUUUACCCGGGAUGAUAAUGACAGUACCGGGAGAAUAAGCUCCGGCUAACUCCGUG
rnacentral:rRNA from 1 species